CUCAGGUGUUGUUGGGUAGGGGAGCGUUCUGUAAGCCUGUGAAGGUGUGUCGUGAGGCAUGCUGGAGGUAUCAGAAGUGCGAAUGCUGACAUAAGUAACGAUAAAGCGGGUGAAAAGCCCGCUCGCCGGAAGACCAAGGGUUCCUGUCCAACGUUAAUCGGGGCAGGGUGAGUCGACCCCUAAGGCGAGGCCGAAAGGCGUAGUCGAUGGGAAACAGGUUAAUAUUCCUGUACUUGGUGUUACUGCGAAGGGGGGACGGAGAAGGCUAUGUUGGCCGGGCGACGGUUGUCCCGGUUUAAGCGUGUAGGUGUGUGUUCCAGGUAAAUCCGGUUCACUUUAACACUGAGGCGUGACGACGAGGCACUACGGUGCUGAAGCAACAAAUGCCCUGCUUCCAGGAAAAGCCUCUAAGCAUCAGGUAACAUCAAAUCGUACCCCAAACCGACACAGGUGGUCAGGUAGAGAAUACCAAGGCGCUUGAGAGAACUCGGGUGAAGGAACUAGGCAAAAUGGUGCCGUAACUUCGGGAGAAGGCACGCUGACACGUAGGUGAAGUGAUUUACUCAUGGAGCUGAAGUCAGUCGAAGAUACCAGCUGGCUGCAACUGUUUAUUAAAAACACAGCACUGUGCAAACACGAAAGUGGACGUAUACGGUGUGACGCCUGCCCGGUGCCGGAAGGUUAAUUGAUGGGGUCAGCGCAAGCGAAGCUCCUGAUCGAAGCCCCGGUAAACGGCGGCCGUAACUAUAACGGUCCUAAGGUAGCGAAAUUCCUUGUCGGGUAAGUUCCGACCUGCACGAAUGGCGUAAUGAUGGCCAGGCUGUCUCCACCCGAGACUCAGUGAAAUUGAACUCGCUGUGAAGAUGCAGUGUACCCGCGGCAAGACGGAAAGACCCCGUGAACCUUUACUAUAGCUUGACACUGAACAUUGAGCCUUGAUGUGUAGGAUAGGUGGGAGGCUUUGAAGCGUGGACGCCAGUCUGCGUGGAGCCGACCUUGAAAUACCACCCUUUAAUGUUUGAUGUUCUAACGUGGACCCGUAAUCCGGGUUGCGGACAGUGUCUGGUGGGUAGUUUGACUGGGGCGGUCUCCUCCUAAAGAGUAACGGAGGAGCACGAAGGUUGGCUAAUCCUGGUCGGACAUCAGGAGGUUAGUGCAAUGGCAUAAGCCAGCUUGACUGCGAGCGUGACGGCGCGAGCAGGUGCGAAAGCAGGUCAUAGUGAUCCGGUGGUUCUGAAUGGAAGGGCCAUCGCUCAACGGAUAAAAGGUACUCCGGGGAUAACAGGCUGAUACCGCCCAAGAGUUCAUAUCGACGGCGGUGUUUGGCACCUCGAUGUCGGCUCAUCACAUCCUGGGGCUGAAGUAGGUCCCAAGGGUAUGGCUGUUCGCCAUUUAAAGUGGUACGCGAGCUGGGUUUAGAACGUCGUGAGACAGUUCGGUCCCUAUCUGCCGUGGGCGCUGGAGAACUGAGGGGGGCUGCUCCUAGUACGAGAGGACCGGAGUGGACGCAUCACUGGUGUUCGGGUUGUCAUGCCAAUGGCACU
rnacentral:rRNA from 1 species